CAUGGCUAUACCAAAUGGGAUCGGGACAACAUUUUCUGUGGCACAACUAAUUCUGUACGCAACCUAUUACAACUCCACUAAGAGGCAGAUAGAAGGAAGGAAUGCCAAAGGGGUAGGAGAGGUGAAUCUCUCAGAGGUGGUGGUCGGUAACAAUGAUCAAGAUCCUAACAAUAUCAACGGGAUUUAUGUUUUUCCCGAUGGUUUUUAAUUUCAGCUUCAUCCCUGUUGCCUAAUGAUUCAUGGUCAUGCAUAUGGAUGUACUCUUUUACCAACUG
rnacentral:sRNA from 1 species